GACAGAGGGUGCAAACGUUGUUCGGAAUUACUGGGCGUAAAGCGAGUGUAGGCGGUUCGCUAAGUCGGAUGUGAAAGCCCUGGGCUCAACCUAGGAAGUGCAUUCGAAACUUCCGAGCUGGAGUGCUGGAGAGGAAGGCGGAAUUCUCGGUGUAGAGGUGAAAUUCGUAGAUAUCGAGAGGAACACCGGUGGCGAAGGCGGCCUUCUGGACAGCCACUGACGCUGAGACGCGAAAGCGUGGGGAGCAAACAGG
rnacentral:rRNA from 1 species